AUUGAACGCUGGCGGCAGGCUUAACACAUGCAAGUCGAGCGGAGAUGAGGUGCUUGCACCUUAUCUUAGCGGCGGACGGGUGAGUAAUGCUUAGGAAUCUGCCUAUUAGUGGGGGACAACAUUCCGAAAGGAAUGCUAAUACCGCAUACGCCCUACGGGGGAAAGCAGGGGAUCUUCGGACCUUGCGCUAAUAGAUGAGCCUAAGUCGGAUUAGCUAGUUGGUGGGGUAAAGGCCUACCAAGGCGACGAUCUGUAGCGGGUCUGAGAGGAUGAUCCGCCACACUGGGACUGAGACACGGCCCAGACUCCUACGGGAGGCAGCAGUGGGGAAUAUUGGACAAUGGGCGGAAGCCUGAUCCAGCCAUGCCGCGUGUGUGAAGAAGGCCUUUUGGUUGUAAAGCACUUUAAGCGAGGAGGAGGCUACCUGGAUUAAUACUCUAGGAUAGUGGGCGUUACUCGCAGAUUAAGCACCGGCUAACUCUGUGCCAGCCGCCGCGGUAACAC
rnacentral:rRNA from 1 species